rnacentral:tRNA from 1 species
GUCACUUUGGCGGAGUGGUUAACGCGUUGCCCUGCUAUCUGACCAAUAGCUGCUAGGCAAUUCCCUCGGGAGCACAGGUUCGAAUCCUGUAGGUGACG